UGCUAUCGAGGUUCGACUAAGCCAUGCGAGUCGAAUGCCGCAAGGCAUGGCGUACUGCUCAGUAACACGUGGAUAACCUACCCUUGGGACGGGCAUAAACCCGGGAAACUGGGUAUAAUUCCCGAUAGGUCUGGGAGGCUGGAACGCAUUCAGACUGAAAGCUCCGGCACCCAAGGAUGGGUCUGCGGCCUAUCAGGUAGUAGUGGGUGUAACGUACCUACUAGCCUACUACGGGUACGGGUUGUGAGAGCAAGAGCCCGGAGAUGGAUUCUGAGACACGAAUCCAGGCCCUACGGGGUGCAGCAGGCGCGAAAACUUUACAAUGCGGGCAACCGCGAUAAGGGGACCUCGAGUGCCGACAUCAAAUGUCGGCUGUCGUGAUGCCUAAAAAGCAUUACAUAGCAAGGGCCGGGCAAGACCGGUGCCAGCCGCCGCGGUAACACCGGCGGCUCGAGUGGUGACCGCUAUUAUUGGGUUUAAAGGGUCUGUAGCCGGCCGGAUAAG
rnacentral:rRNA from 1 species